CCUACGGGUGGCUGCAGUGGGGAAUAUUGGACAAUGGGGGGAACCCUGAUCCAGCCAUGCCGCGUGUGUGAAGAAGGCCCUCGGGUUGUAAAGCACUUUCAGUGAGGAAGAACGCCUGGUGGUUAAUACCCAUCAGGAAAGACAUCACUCACAGAAGAAGCACCGGCUAACUCCGUGCCAGCAGCCGCGGUAAUACGGAGGGUGCGAGCGUUAAUCGGAAUUACUGGGCGUAAAGCGCGCGUAGGUGGCUUGAUAAGCCGGUUGUGAAAGCCCCGGGCUCAACCUGGGAACGGCAUCCGGAACUGUCAAGCUAGAGUGCAGGAGAGGAAGGUAGAAUUCCCGGUGUAGCGGUGAAAUGCGUAGAGAUCGGGAGGAAUACCAGUGGCGAAGGUGGCCUUCUGGACUGACACUGACACUGAGGUGCGAAAGCGUGGGUAGCAAACAGGAUUAGAUACCCUGGUAGUC
rnacentral:rRNA from 1 species